rnacentral:lncRNA from 1 species
CUUUCCAUUACAUGUUCUACUCAAAAACUUUUGGUUUUUAGAGCACAUUAGAUUUCGGAUUUCUGGAUUGAGCAUGUUCAACCUGUGUAGUUUUUGAAAAUGUCCUAAGUAUAUGGCCUACCAUGUUCUUAGGGGCUGAGGAGCUUGUGCUGUGACUUCUGACUCUCUUCAUCAGUGUUGCCAAGGAGACUGAGGCCAAGUCACACAAGCAAGAUGGAAAAAGAAUGCUCGGCAAACAGGAGUGCUAAGGAACUGGUUGCCCUCACCUAGGCUCCAGUGGAAGUCUUGCUUCCACUGAGCUGUUACUCUUACGUUUCCUGGAGGAAUGCUACAGAAACCUCCUCAUGAAAUCUGACCCUACGCUGACAGUAGGAAUGUGUCAAAAAUGUUUCCUCCCAUGGGUCGGUUCCCCACUAGGAGAGUUUCAGCCAGUGAUGGAGUGUGUGAUAUGUGAAGACGGAAAGUUCCUUUGAAAGAGACGUAAUAACACCAAGCUAAUAUAAUUCAUGAAGUGGAGGUGGAGGUGAGUGUUUAUUAGUUAAUAUAUUAUUACGUUAGACAAAAUGGGAAUCAUGACAGAAGAAAUAAUUGCAGGUAGGUAUGGCACACUGGAGAGUUGGCAUUGGAUGGAAGAAGUUCGUUCUUCAGGUGUGAGUAC